rnacentral:rRNA from 1 species
CCAGACUCCUACGGGAGGCAGCAGUGAGGAAUAUUGGUCAAUGGGCGAGAGCCUGAACCAGCCAAGUCGCGUGAGGGAAGACGGUCCUAUGGAUUGUAAACCUCUUUUGCCGGGGAGCAAAAAGCGGUACGUGUACCGCAUCGAGAGUACCCGGAGAAAAAGCAUCGGCUAACUCCGUGCCAGCAGCCGCGGUAAUACGGAGGAUGCGAGCGUUAUCCGGAUUUAUUGGGUUUAAAGGGUGCGCAGGCGGAGAGUUAAUGAACGGAAAAAAUUGGGGGCCACAACCGCGACGAGCCGCUGAAACUGGCUUGCUAGAGUGGGCGAGAAGUAUGCGGAAUGCGUGGUGUAGCGGUGAAAUGCAUAG